rnacentral:rRNA from 1 species
GCUAAGAAUCUUCCGCAAUGGGGGAAACCCUGACGGAGCGACGCCGCGUGGACGAUGAAGGCCGUAAGGUUGUAAAGUCCUUUUGCGGGCGAAGAAUAAGCGGGGGAAUGGAAUGCCCUCGUGAUGACGUUAGCCCGUGAAGAAGCCCCGGCCAAUUACGUGCCAGCAGCCGCGGUAAUACGUAUGGGGCGAGCGUUGUUCGGAGUUAUUGGGCGUAAAGGGCGUGUAGGCGGCCCGAGAAGUCUGGUGUGAAAUCGCAGGGCUCAACCCUGCGGGUGCGCUGGAAACUGACGGGCUGGAGUCCCGGGGGGGAAGCUGGAAUUCCUGGUGUAGGAGUGAAAUCUGUAGAGAUCAGGAAGAACACCGGUGGCGAAGGCGAGCUUCUAUUCGAGGACUGACGCUGAGGCGCGAAAGCGUGGGGAGCAAACAGGAUUAGAUACCCGGGUAGUCC